UCAGCUCAUAUUUGUUCUUUGCACUGUUUUCUAUUCUAUUCAAAAAAAUUUACGUCCGUAUUGAACCAAAUGCUUGUCUUAAACUCUGACCAAAUGACUCCAAAAAAAUUGGUAUAUAAGCAAUGGUAGAGCAGCCAGAAGAGGGCAGGGCAGAAGACGAAAAACAUCUACACACAGAGUGAAAUUAGAGUAAUUGAGAAAAACGCAAUGGCUCAAAAGAUGUUGAUGAUGGCGGUCCUUGUGAUAUUGGGGACGAAGAUAGCGACAGUUACGGUUGCGGAUCCGACUUGCUUGCACAGCUUGAAGUCUUGUGCUCCUUACUUGAAAAACGCCACUCUCCAACUGAAAGGAGAUUGCUGUGACCCUCUCAGAAAAACUGUCGCUACUAAACUUACUUGCCUUUGCAGCCUCAUUAACAACUCUACUUUGCUUAGUUCUUUCAACAUCCCCAUCGCUGCAGCUCUUAGGAUCACUCGUGGCUGCGGUGUCACUGAUCAGAUGAAAGGCUGCAUCUCCGUUACUCCCACACCUGCUCCUUCCCCAUGAGCUAAUUCUCCCAAAGCUGCUCCACUCAUUACCAGGAGGUGAAAGUGGAGGUGUCAACAAGAAAACUUUGACCAGAAUCACCACUUUGUUCUUUUUUUUUUAAAGCAUCUAUAGCUCUCUACUAUGGUGACAUGUUUCCUACAUGAGUUGAAUGGGGAGAUUUCAUCUCAUAAUAAUUAAUAAAUAAAUAAUAAAGAGAGCAUUUCAAGUUUAGAUUA